AAAAAAAUAAACUCUACUCUAUUUAUUGGUUUUUAUUUUUCAACUCAAUACAUAUUCUCUCAUUUUAGGGAGUAACCCAAAAAAUAGCAUAAAAAUAUCAUUUGUGGAAAAACAAGAGGUAAAAUGUUUGAAAAUUGAAUCAGGGAAAAAAAUAAAGGAAAUGGGAAUUAAUGCCUUGCUAUUCCUGUGACCUCCCUUGUUAUUAUAGAGUUAUCUCCAAAAACUAAGGCACACACAUUAAUAACUCAGAUUUGUAUAGUCUAGCUAUGAUCAAUUACUAUUUUCAUAUAGUAUUCAU
rnacentral:lncRNA from 1 species